rnacentral:tRNA from 1 species
GUAGCUGUAGCUCAGUAGUAGAGCACUUGCCUAGCAUGCGUGAGACACUGGGUUCGAUCCUCAGCACCACA